rnacentral:rRNA from 1 species
UACGAAGGGGGCUAGCGUUGUUCGGAUUUACUGGGCGUAAAGCGCACGUAGGCGGAUCGAUUGAAGUUAGGGGUGAAAUCCUGGAGCUCAACUCCAGAACUGCCUCUAAUACUGGCGAUCUAGAGUCCGGGAAGAGGUGAGUGGAACUCCUAGUGUAGAGGUGGAAUUCGUAGAUAUUAGGAAGGAACACCAGUGGCGAAGGCGGCUCACUG